rnacentral:lncRNA from 1 species
UUAUCUCUUCCCUUCUCCUCUUCCUCUUCCUCUCCUAUCUACCACCUUCCUUCCAUACCCUAUUGUCGCACCACGUUGCUCCGACGAUCUCCUCGGCUGACAAGGAGCUUCCACGAGCUAUAUUUCUCUCUUUUUCUCUCUUUAUCUCUCAUAUUUCCCUUUUUACUCUCUCUCACCAUGGCUGCGACCUCCCCACUCCUCGACACCAACCGAUUGACCUCCGACGACCUCUCUCCAAU